CGGAUCUUGUUCGCCUGACAGUUGCAGUCCACAAUUGGUAUCACACAACAAAUAUAGAAUGUCAAUUCCAGAACAAUUUAGCAGCAAGCUUCAUUGCCCUCUCAAUGCUAACAGAACCAGGAUCCUGAAAAACAUGACUGGACGUAUGCGUGUAUAUGAUCAAGAUGGACGAAUAAGAAUGGUGCAAAAUUUCGCUGGCGCAAGAACACCAAUUUACAUACUGAGCAACAUAAGUGGUCAAGUAUAUUCAGCGGAAGGAUACUAAUUCACACACUGAAUGCAGUAGUAUAUGCCUAACGCAAUAUUUGCCUAUUGUUAACAGUCGAUGCAUUUAUUAUGUUUUAGAUUACGUAUAUGAUUAUAUUAUGAUGUAUUCUACAGAUCAUUUGAUAAACAAAUCUUUAAUCAACUUGUGAACAAUAUUUAUGUAAAAGUACAAGAGCCGAGUGGUGCAAUGAUAUGACGCAAUACAUCAAAGUGCUACAUGUGUAACUAUUAUUGCUUGCAAUUAAAAUAAUGUAUUAAUAAAAUUAUUUAGUUUUUAUUAGUAGUAGUAUAAAAUACUCCUGAAAUAUAUGUUAUUGUUGAGUGAUUCUGAAAGUGGACAUUGAUAUACAGGUAAUGUAAAAAAUUAAAAAAAUAUCAACACGCAUGUGUAUAUGUUACAAAUGUGAAUUAGUUCAAUAAAAGUAUGUAAGGAUA